rnacentral:misc_RNA from 1 species
CCCUCCCCAAAUCACUCCAAAAACAAUCCCCAAUUCUACACAAGUGUUUCUACACUAACAAAGCAACAGCUCCUUAACGAAUUCCCAACUUUACAUGAGCUCGUCUCUCGAGGUUAAAUGUUAUUACUUGGUAAGAUUCCGGACCUCGCCAAGUGUUUUGAAAACCCGCAACGCUCGCAAAGGUGGAUAGUGAGAAUAAUAAGUGAAGAGACAGACUUGUCCAAAACGCCCACCACGAAGGUGCAUAGUGAGAAGAGUAAGUCAAGAGAUAGACUUGUCCAAAAAGAAACGGAAGAGAAAGCUUGGGGAGACGCUCACGAAGGUGCAUAGUGAGAAGAGUAAGUCAAGAGAUAGACUUGUUCAAAAAGAAACAGAAGAGAAUGCUUGGGGUUACACUCACGAAGGUGCAUAGUGAGAAGAGUAAGUCAAGAGACAGACUUGUUCAAAAAGAAACAAAAGAGAAUGCUUGGGGAGAUAGAAGUGUGAGAUAGUUCUCAAGCUAAGAAAGUUGUAAAAGCUAAGAACUAGCAUCAAAUGAUGGAUGAAACACAAGGUAGUUGUUGAAAAGUCAAACACUUGGUGAUAUGAACACAAACGCUCAAUAUGACAAACCCAUGCCAAGUAAAGAGAAAAUGAAAACUGGUGAUUGUUGCGGGAAAUCGUCCAGGAUUCCUCGACCAGGACUUGAAAUCGUCGAGGGAAAAAAAAUCGGUUCCAGGAAUCGUCGAUCCGGACUUGGAAUCGUCGAGAAAAGUUUACCGGGUCCGAGGAAUCGUCGAG